rnacentral:rRNA from 1 species
CAUAGGUUAAUGAGGCGAACCGGGGGAACUGAAACAUCUAAGUACCCCGAGGAAAAGAAAUCAACCGAGAUUCCCCCAGUAGCGGCGAGCGAACGGGGAGCAGCCCAGAGCCUGAAUCAGUGUGUGUGUUAGUGGAAGCGUCUGGAAAGGCGCGCGAUACAGGGUGACAGCCCCGUACACAAAAAUGCACAUACUGUGAGCUCGAUGAGUAGGGCGGGACACGUGGUAUCCUGUCUGAAUAUGGGGGGACCAUCCUCCAAGGCUAAAUACUCCUGACUGACCGAUAGUGAACCAGUACCGUGAGGGAAAGGCGAAAAGAACCCCGGCGAGGGGAGUGAAAAAGAACCUGAAACCGUGUACGUACAAGCAGUGGGAGCACGCUUAGGCGUGUGACUGCGUACCUUUUGUAUAAUGGGUCAGCGACUUAUAUUCUGUAGCAAGGUUAACCGAAUAGGGGAGCCGAAGGGAAACCGAGUCUUAACUGGGCGUUAAGUUGCAGGGUAUAGACCCGAAACCCGGUGAUCUAGCCAUGGGCAGGUUGAAGGUUGGGUAACACUAACUGGAGGACCGAACCGACUAAUGUUGAAAAAUUAGCGGAUGACUUGUGGCUGGGGGUGAAAGGCCAAUCAAACCGGGAGAUAGCUGGUUCUCCCCGAAAGCUAUUUAGGUAGCGCCUCGUGAAUUCAUCUCCGGGGGUAGAGCACUGUUUCGGCAAGGGGGUCAUCCCGACUUACCAACCCGAUGCAAACUGCGAAUACCGGAGAAUGUUAUCACGGGAGACACACGGCGGGUGCUAACGUCCGUCGUGAAGAGGGAAACAACCCAGACCGCCAGCUAAGGUCCCAAAGUCAUGGUUAAGUGGGAAACGAUGUGGGAAGGCCCAGACAGCCAGGAUGUUGGCUUAGAAGCAGCCAUCAUUUAAAGAAAGCGUAAUAGCUCACUGGUCGAGUCGGCCUGCGCGGAAGAUGUAACGGGGCUAAACCAUGCACCGAAGCUGCGGCAGCGACGCUGAUGCGUUGUUGGGUAGGGGAGCGUUCUGUAAGCCUGUGAAGGUGUGCUGUGAGGCAUGCUGGAGGUAUCAGAAGUGCGAAUGCUGACAUAAGUAACGAUAAAGCGGGUGAAAAGCCCGCUCGCCGGAAGACCAAGGGUUCCUGUCCAACGUUAAUCGGGGCAGGGUGAGUCGACCCCUAAGGCGAGGCCGAAAGGCGUAGUCGAUGGGAAACAGGUUAAUAUUCCUGUACUUGGUGUUACUGCGAAGGGGGGACGGAGAAGGCUAUGUUGGCCGGGCGACGGUUGUCCCGGUUUAAGCGUGUAGGCUGGUUUUCCAGGCAAAUCCGGAAAACUAAGGCUGAGGCGUGAUGACGAGGCACUACGGUGCUGAAGCAACAAAUGCCCUGCUUCCAGGAAAAGCCUCUAAGCAUCAGGUAACAUCAAAUCGUACCCCAAACCGACACAGGUGGUCAGGUAGAGAAUACCAAGGCGCUUGAGAGAACUCGGGUGAAGGAACUAGGCAAAAUGGUGCCGUAACUUCGGGAGAAGGCACGCUGAUAUGUAGGUGAAGCGACUUGCUCGUGGAGCUGAAAUCAGUCGAAGAUACCAGCUGGCUGCAACUGUUUAUUAAAAACACAGCACUGUGCAAACACGAAAGUGGACGUAUACGGUGUGACGCCUGCCCGGUGCCGGAAGGUUAAUUGAUGGGGUCAGCGCAAGCGAAGCUCUUGAUCGAAGCCCCGGUAAACGGCGGCCGUAACUAUAACGGUCCUAAGGUAGCGAAAUUCCUUGUCGGGUAAGUUCCGACCUGCACGAAUGGCGUAAUGAUGGCCAGGCUGUCUCCACCCGAGACUCAGUGAAAUUGAACUCGCUGUGAAGAUGCAGUGUACCCGCGGCAAGACGGAAAGACCCCGUGAACCUUUACUAUAGCUUGACACUGAACAUUGAGCCUUGAUGUGUAGGAUAGGUGGGAGGCUUUGAAGUGUGGACGCCAGUCUGCAUGGAGCCGACCUUGAAAUACCACCCUUUAAUGUUUGAUGUUCUAACGUUGACCCGUGAUCCGGGUUGCGGACAGUGUCUGGUGGGUAGUUUGACUGGGGCGGUCUCCUCCUAAAGAGUAACGGAGGAGCACGAAGGUUGGCUAAUCCUGGUCGGACAUCAGGAGGUUAGUGCAAUGGCAUAAGCCAGCUUGACUGCGAGCGUGACGGCGCGAGCAGGUGCGAAAGCAGGUCAUAGUGAUCCGGUGGUUCUGAAUGGAAGGGCCAUCGCUCAACGGAUAAAAGGUACUCCGGGGAUAACAGGCUGAUACCGCCCAAGAGUUCAUAUCGACGGCGGUGUUUGGCACCUCGAUGUCGGCUCAUCACAUCCUGGGGCUGAAGUAGGUCCCAAGGGUAUGGCUGUUCGCCAUUUAAAGUGGUACGCGAGCUGGGUUUAGAACGUCGUGAGACAGUUCGGUCCCUAUCUGCCGUGGGCGCUGGAGAACUGAGGGGGGCUGCUCCUAGUACGAGAGGACCGGAGUGGACGCAUCACUGGUGUUCGGGUUGUCAUGCCAAUGGCACUGCCCGGUAGCUAAAUGCGGAAGAGAUAAGUGCUGAAAGCAUCUAAGCACGAAACUUGCCCCGAGAUGAGUUCUCCCUGACUCCUUGAGAGUCCUGAAGGAACGUUGAAGACGACGACGUUGAUAGGCCGGGUGUGUAAGCGCAGCGAUGCGUUGAGCUAACCGGUACUAAUGAACCGUGAGGCUUAACCUUACAACGCCGAAGCUGUU